AGAGUUUGAUCCUGGCUCAGGACGAACGCUGGCGGCACGCUUAACACAUGCAAGUCGAACGAGAGAAGAGGAGCUUGCUUUUCUGAUCUAGUGGCGGACGGGUGAGUAACACGUGAGCAAUCUGCCUUUCAGAGGGGGAUACCGAUUGGAAACGAUCGUUAAUACCGCAUAACAUAAUUGAACCGCAUGAUUUGAUUAUCAAAAAUUUAUCGCUGAAAGAUGAGCUCGCGUCUGAUUAGCUAGUUGGUAAGGUAACGGCUUACCAAGGCGACGAUCAGUAGCCGGACUGAGAGGUUGAUCGGCCACAUUGGGACUGAGACACGGCCCAGACUCCUACGGGAGGCAGCAGUGGGGAAUAUUGCACAAUGGAGGAAACUCUGAUGCAGCGAUGCCGCGUGAGGGAAGAAGGUUUUAGGAUUGUAAACCUCUGUCUUCAGGGACGAAAAAAGACGGUACCUGAGGAGGAAGCUCCGGCUAACUACGUGCCAGCAGCCGCGGUAAUACGUAGGGAGCGAGCGUUGUCCGGAAUUACUGGGUGUAAAGGGAGCGUAGGCGGGAUCGCAAGUCAGAUGUGAAAACUAUGGGCUUAACCCAUAAACUGCAUUUGAAACUGUGGUUCUUGAGUGAAGUAGAGGUAAGCGGAAUUCCUAGUGUAGCGGUGAAAUGCGUAGAUAUUAGGAGGAACAUCAGUGGCGAAGGCGGCUUACUGGGCUUUAACUGACGCUGAGGCUCGAAAGCGUGGGGAGCAAACAGGAUUAGAUACCCUGGUAGUCCACGCCGUAAACGAUGAUUACUAGGUGUGGGGGGACUGACCCCUUCCGUGCCGCAGCAAACGCAAUAAGUAAUCCACCUGGGGAGUACGACCGCAAGGUUGAAACUCAAAGGAAUUGACGGGGGCCCGCACAAGCAGUGGAGUAUGUGGAUUAAUUCGAAGCAACGCGAAGAACCUUACCAGGUCUUGACAUCGUAUGCAUAGCUCAGAGAUGAGUGAAAUCUCUUCGGAGACAUAUAGACAGGUGGUGCAUGGUUGUCGUCAGCUCGUGUCGUGAGAUGUUGGGUUAAGUCCCGCAACGAGCGCAACCCUUACUGUUAGUUGCUACGCAAGAGCACUCUAGCAGGACUGCCGUUGACAAAACGGAGGAAGGUGGGGAUGACGUCAAAUCAUCAUGCCCCUUAUGACCUGGGCCUCACACGUACUACAAUGGCUGUCAACAGAGGGAAGCAAAGCCGCGAGGUGGAGCGAACCCCUAAAAGCAGUCUUAGUUCGGAUUGUAGGCUGCAACCCGCCUACAUGAAGUCGGAAUUGCUAGUAAUCGCAGAUCAGCAUGCUGCGGUGAAUACGUUCCCGGGCCUUGUACACACCGCCCGUCACGCCAUGGGAGUCGGUAACACCCGAAGCCUGUAGUCUAACCGCAAGGAGGACGCAGUCGAAGGUGGGAUUGAUGACUGGGGUGAAGUCGUAACAAGGUA
rnacentral:rRNA from 1 species